rnacentral:rRNA from 1 species
AUGGAUGCUCACCACGUCAGCAUAGAGGAAAUUGAAGAAUAUUACAUGGUGGUUAGUCAAACAUUCACAAGCGAGGAACAAGGUUUCGAGUUCUAUAACAAAUAUGCUAAAGCCAAAGGGUUCAGCGUGAGGAAGGCCAAUGUGAAAAACAAGGGAGGCAUAAGAAUCCAAAGGUUGUACAUGUGCAACAAAGAAGGAUAUAGGUCCUUGAAAAACUUUGAAAGGUCCAACCGGAAAAGGAAACCAAGGGCACUCUCUCGUUGUGGAUGUGACGCUCAACUGCAAAUCGAGCUCAAUAUGGAAACCCGUGAAUGGUUUGUCAAGGACUUUGUGGACCAACAUAACCAUGAAUUCACUAAGCCUGACCAGACACCUUUCUUAUGGUCUCAUCGUGGACUUAAUGAUCCUCAAAAGGCUGAUGCCAUUGAGUAUGGUAUUGGUGGUCUACGCACACAUCAGAUAAUGGACGUAAUGGAGAAGCAGCAUGGUGGGUAUGACAAAGUCGGUUGUGUGUCUCGGGACCUAUAUAAUUUUAUUGCUGAGUACAAGAAGCAAAGGAUUGAAGGUUUUGAUGCCCAAUACAUGCUGAACUAUAUGGCUGCGCAGGAAGAGAGAGAUUCUGAAUUCUUUUACAGGUACAGCACAGACAGCAAAGGCCAUCUGCAGAACCUUUUUUGGUCAGACGCGCAGUCCCGGUUGGACUAUGAUGCCUUUGGUGGUGUUGUUGUGUUUGACAGCACGUACCGUGUAAACAAAUAUAACUUGCCAUUUGUCCCAUUCAUUGGAUUGAACCACCAUCGCAGCACAGUUGUCUUUGGGGUCGGCAUUGUAUCAGACGAGACCGUGGCAUCAUAUAAGUGGCUGCUCCAUUCAUUUUUGGAGGCGAUGCACCAGAACCAUCCCAGGUCCGUGAUCACUGAUGGGGACCAUGCAAUGGCGAGAGCAAUAUUGCAGGUAUGGCCGAACACAGACCAUCGGCUGUGUAGCUGGCACAUCGAACAAAAUAUGGUACGCUACCUUCGGAACCCGAAGCUCAGCGACUUUAGAAAAUUGAUUUACCGUGCUUUCGAGGUUGAUGAGUUUGAGAGAGGUUGGCUCCAGUUCAACAAACACUAUGGGAUAACGGAAAAAGACACGUGGAUCUGCAGGAUGUACGAGCUAAGAAAGAAGUGGUCUGCAGCCUAUACCAAAGGGAGGUACUUCCUGGGCAUGAGAAGUAAUCAAAGGAGCGAAAGUCUAAAUUCUACGCUUCAUGUGCAGCUGGACAGGAGAAUGAGACUUAUUGAUUUGCUGCAACACCAUGAGCAUUGCAUCUCAGUUAUGCGAAGGAAUGAGGCUGCAAUGGAUGCCGUGGCCUCGCAGACGGUGCCCUUCACUGAAUUAACAGCUGACCCACUGGAGAAAAAUGCGUCAUAUAUCUACACCCCUAUAAUGUUCGAGAAGGUUAAGGGGGAGAUCGUGAGGUUAUCAAAAUGGCAAGUCGAGGAGGUGAACAAGGAAGAUAGUUUGACGAGGUUUGCAGUUGUUCAUAAAGAGCGCAGGCAAGUAAGAUUUGAUGUGAGGUGUGUUUAUGUGGGCUCGGUGAUAGCGAGUGUGCACUGCCAAUGCCGGAAGAUGGAGAGUGAGGAUAUUCCAUGCACACAUAUAUUUGCUAUUCUGAAGUGCGUUGGGUUAGACACCAUUCCUAGUUGUUGUGUUGCUAAAAGAUGGACGAUGAAAGCCAAGCCUGCCUUCGAUUCAGACAUGAGUGCCAGUACGCAGCAAUGGUCAGAACGGAUGGAUCGUUUCCAUGAGCUCCGUAACGAUGCAAGCGUUGCUUUUUUUAAGGCUUCGAAAUCCGCAGCGCAAUCAGAGAGGGUGAUGGCAUUUCUCAACAGUAUUAUUGAUGAGGGUGAGAAUGACGAGAAUACUAACAUAGCAUCAUUUGGUCCUUUGCCGGCAUAUUUUUCUGGGGCACGCCAAACCUUCACAACUAAAGUUCUGGAUCCAAUACCAAUUAUUCCAAAAGGUGCUCCAUCGAAGGGCAGGUUGAAGCCAUUCCAGGAGACUAUGAAGAAAAAGAAGCCCAAACAUGACUGCGGGCAAAGUUGGACAGGCGUUAAUUAUGUUGAAGAGCCACACAUCAGUUGA